rnacentral:misc_RNA from 1 species
GAUGAAGAACGUAGCGAAACGCGAUAAGUAAUGUGAAUUGCAGAAUCCAGUGAAUCAUCGAAUCUUUGAACGCACAUUGCGCCCGCCAGCAUUCUGGCGGGCAUGCCUGUUCGAGCGUCAUUUCAACCCUCGACCUCCCCUUGGGGAGGUCGGCGUUGGGGACCGGCAGCACACCGCCGGCCCUGAAAUGGAGUGGCGGCCCGUCCGCGGCGACCUCUGCGCAGUAAUACAGCUCGCACCGGGACCCCGACGCGGCCACGCCGUAAAACACCCAACUUCUGAACGUUGACCUCGAAUCAGGUAGGACUACCCGCUGAACUUAAGCAUACCAAUAAGCGGAGGA